rnacentral:tRNA from 1 species
GCCGAUGUGGCGCAAUUGGUAGCGCACCCGACUUGUAAUCGGAAGGUUGCGGGUUCAAGUCCCGCCGUCGGCUC